rnacentral:rRNA from 1 species
UACGGGGGGGGGCAAGCGUUGUUCGGAAUUACUGGGCGUAAAGGGCGUGUAGGUGGCCAACUAAGUCCGACGUGAAAUCCCCAGGCUUAACCUGGGAACUGCGUCGGAUACUGGAUGGCUUGAAUUCGGGAGAGGAAUGCAGAAUUCCAGGUGUAGCGGUGAAAUGCGUAGAUAUCUGGAGGAAUACCGGUGGCGAAGGCGGCAUUCUGGACCGACAUCGACACUAAAGCGCGAAAGCCAGGGGAGCAAACGGG